rnacentral:lncRNA from 1 species
GGCAAGACCAGAACUGGGGAGUGUUCUCUUCCUUAGACAGCAAUCAGCAGCUCAGACAGCAUCUCUGGCAGUUGGCUGUAAAGACCACUGACAUCAACAAGAUCCCACAUUUUAUGAGCAAUAACUUGGGUUCAAAAAAUGCAAGUUUAUAGCAAGAAGGUGAGUUACGUAACACAUACUCAAGGAAAAAAGCAAACAAAAUUGGUCAAAGAUAAGCCAAAAGGAAUACAUCCCAGCCAAUGCCGGACAAGAUGGAGAUGAAGAAGAAUCUCUUUGGGCUAUAAAAUGACUAAGCAGAGAAAUUUGGAGGCGAAUGGCAGAGCCUCCUCCUCUUCCAGAUUGACUGUUUAGAGGUUGACAGGGGCAUCAUGCCCUGCCAUUGCUUCAUUUCUGCUUAGAGACAGUAUUAAAAGUUCCUGGACAGGUGCCAAAAGUACCGUUGACAUGCAAUGAGUCUCACAAGACCAUCACCUUCAGGGUGUUGAGCAGAGAAGCUGACCAGGCAAGUUUCAAACACACUGGAACAGUUUCUCUCCACUUCCACUUCAAGAGGGUGGCACCACCACCA